AAGUCGUAACAAGGUUUCCGUAGGUGAACCUGCGGAAGGAUCAUUACAAAUCUUUUGCGAGUGCUGCGUGCGUAACUGUGCGUAGUAUCUCACAACAUUAGCACAAGGCCGCAAGGCCUUGAUGUUUACGCUUGUUUGUUUGACAGAGUUAGUUGAGACAAAAAAAGACAACUUUUAACAAUGGAUCUCUUGGCUCUU
rnacentral:misc_RNA from 1 species